rnacentral:misc_RNA from 1 species
GCUCUUCCAUUUGUUGGAUUUGCACUGGCAAUGUUUCUGUUUUACUCAUUUGUCCCUGUCCUGCUUAAGAUUAGCGGGUCAACAAUGCUCAACCUGUCUUUGCUAACAUCAGAUAUGUGGUCUGUCUUAAUUCGCAUCUUUGCUUAUCAUGAUAAGGUUGAUUGGAUGUACUACGUAGCAUUUGCUGCUGUUGCUGUUGGGCUGGUCAUUUAUUCAGGGGGUGACAAAGAGGAACAAAACCGUGCGGAUGUUGCUGAUGAAGAGGCUGAGCAAAGCAAACAUUUUGAUGAGGAGAGUGGUUCUGGGAGUCGGAGCCAAGGAACUUUGGCCGGGAGCUCAAAAACAGGGGAUAGCAGCAAUCAAGACCCUGCUACCACUGGCAUUCGAGAAAAGCACGAAAAUGAAAACAAGAAUGUCGGCAAGAUGCAUUAGAGAAGAAAUCAUAGUUCAGCUUCUUUGAUUAUAAAUUGGAAGCUUAAAUUGGAAGCUCAAAUGUAAUGGCUGCCGCUCCAUAAAGUGCGGAUGUCAGCUGCUAUAGAAUUUCCAUUCACAAA